GACUGGUUAUCUUCAUGUGUUCCACAGUCAUAGUUUUGAUCACAGUGUUUAUAUAUAUAUAUAUAUAUAUAUAUAUAUAUAUAUGUAUAUAUAUAUAUAUAUAUAUAUACACAUAUACCUUUUUUCCCCUUAGGAAGUUGGCUGCAUUUUCAGAGAAGUUUUUGGACAUCCUUCUGCCUUUAUUAAGGAUGGACAUAUUUCUUUGUUUGGAAAUUAAGAUGUUCUCUGCUUCUAGGACACCAUGGUGAAAAUCUGUAAUUAAGAAAAAUUGCUUGGAAGAGUUUGUUUCCUCUGUAGUACAAGAUGCUUUCCCCUCCUGAUGCAGCUGUCCAUCAUUCCCUGUAACUGGGUAAC
ensembl:lncRNA